GACGAACGCUGGCGGCGUGCUUAACACAUGCAAGUCGAACGGAAAGGCCCUGCUUUUGUGGGGUGCUCGAGUGGCGAACGGGUGAGUAACACGUGAGUAACCUGCCCUUGACUUUGGGAUAACUUCAGGAAACUGGGGCUAAUACCGGAUAGGAGCUCCUGCUGCAUGGGGGGGGUUGGAAAGUUUCGGCGGUUGGGGAUGGACUCGCGGCUUAUCAGCUUGUUGGUGGGGUAGUGGCUUACCAAGGCUCUGACGGGUAGCCGGCCUGAGAGGGUGACCGGCCACAUUGGGACUGAGAUACGGCCCAGACUCCUACGGGAGGCAGCAGUGGGGAAUAUUGCACAAUGGGCGGAAGCCUGAUGCAGCAACGCCGCGUGCGGGAUGACGGCCUUCGGGUGGUAAACCGCUUUCGCCGGUGACGAAGCGUGAGUGACGGUAAUGGGUAAAGAAGCACCGGCUAACUACGUG
rnacentral:rRNA from 1 species